rnacentral:tRNA from 1 species
GCGAGCGUAGCUCAACUUGGUCAGAGCACCUGACUGUGGCUCAGGGCGUUGGGAGUUCAAAUCUCCUCGCUCGCCCCA